ensembl:lncRNA
AAAAGCAGUUCGACCAGUUCAUGAAUGUUCUCCAGUCACUUUGUGCGUCACUGCUACAUAUUUUCUGAUAUUUCCUGGUUGAAUCAGAUGAUCAUUGUUGUGAUGACUGGAUACCAGGUUUGAUGCCUCUCCAUGGAUUUAAAUGAACAAAUAGAAGUAUAGGAAUACUAAAAAAGAAAUAAAUAUUUACAGAGCUCUGUCAACAAGUUUUGAGACGUGGAUUUAGGUGAGUGUGAAUGCUGUCGAAUAUAUGAAAUUUAAUUGUAUUUCCUCAUACAGAUUACAAUUUCACACAGUUCUAAUUUAAGUUAAAAAAAUAAAAUUACAAACUAUAUUACAGAAUUCGAGUGAAAAGUUAAAGUCUGUGUCACUCUUUCGGUUUGAUUUGAGAAUGUUUUAAAGAUCCUCUUAAUUAAUUUAAGUUAAAAAAAAAAAAUUACAAACUAUAUUACUGAAUUUGAGUGAAAAGUUAAAGUCCUUGUCACUCUUUCGGUUUGAUUUGAGAAUGUUUUAAAGAUCCUCUUGUUUGCUUUAUUAAGCAAGAAAAUCUAAAUCUUUAUGGGAGUUCGAAUAAUCAAUAAUGACGCAUACACUUUAAUUAUAUCUGAGCAAUAAAUGGUGAUCUGUAAAUACGUUUUUCAAAUUUGUACUCAUUUUAUGUUUAUAUUUUGAAUGUUUUUUGGGUUGCUUUUCAUUAUUGGUUGUUAUUGUUUAAUAAAUAACAAAUAAAACUAAUAAAAAACAUAAAAGUGUCAAAAAUGUGGUCUUAAACUUUUGGACUUGACUGUAUUUCUGUAUAAAAUGAUUACUCUGUUUGUUCAGUCAGAAUUACGUGUUUAAUUAGCAAUAUUUGUAUAUCUCCUGCAGCUCUUGUGCAUUCAGUCUCCUCUGAAACUUGAGAAAUGACAAGAAAACAAAUAGAAAUGGCAGCAGAAAAUGCAACUGAAAAGAAUGAAAUGCAGAGAAUGAAAGCUGUACUGAGAAAUGCAGUCAAACCUACACAGCAGGAAAAACCAACAAAGAGAGGAACAGAAAAUGCCUGUGGAUUCAGAGAACAUCUAACAGUGUGCAAGACAGACAGCAAUAAAGAAUUUCCACCAAACUUCUCUCUUGAUCAAGAAAGAUUAAGAAAGACCUGAUGCGACAGAGAUAUUCAAAGAAGAGGUAAGAAAAUCCAACUCGUACUGUACAUACAGGAAAUAAAUCUGUGUAAAUCACAAUAUAAAUCCUGACAUUGUGUUUUCUUUUUUAGAAAGCUGCAGUUGAUCUGAGAGAAUGUUCUUCAAAUCACUUUCAGUCAAUGAUUCAGAAUGAGACUUUUUUUUUACCUGAAACACAUCUGAUUAUCUACUAAAAGAUAAGUCAUAAACGAGGUUAAGUGUCUUGUUCAAGUGCAUAAUGAUCACUGUUUUUCAGCUGCUAGAACCAAAAGAUUUAGGCUAAUUCAUCUAACUGAAAUAUUCUUUGUGAAAGCUCAUGUAAGUGUCAGUGUCUAAACCUGAAGUGUCUAUGUUUUAGUCAUUUUGCCCAUGACAGAAUUUAUUGCAAUACUUCUGUGUUUUUUGUUUUGUUUAUUGUUGAUGUUGGUUUUGCACUGCAGCAGUGUGCAAUAAAUGUGUCUGUCACAAAGAAAUAUGUAAAACUAAGAUGCAUGAUAUUGAAUUGUUUAUAUUUUAAAAUGAGCAUACGGUGGUUUUGUAACUGUAAAACACAGCUGAUUUACAUCUCCAGCAGCAAGCUCCAGAAUUUGGCCAGUUCAUAUAUAUUUAAAAUGUAUAAUUAAACUUUUGCUUUUGGCUUUCAUAAGCUUUGCAUUGUAUUACCAGGAUGUUCUUGCUGGUAUAUAGAAUAUUAAUCAACCAAUGAAAAAUACAGGUACUUUAAGAGCUAGUUAUUUACAAGUAUUGUAAUAAAAUAAGCAAAUAUAAGAACAUGAAAAUAAGACUUGAACAAACUGUUAUUUUCACGUUCAACCACUAGAUGGCAGAAAUUUUUCUUUGUCAGUGUUUGUAAUAAUUGUUAUACUCAGUCCAGUGACAGAGAUGGGCUAUAUAAUAAGCAGGCUACAUUUUAAGUGCUAGUUGUCAAAGUAAUUUACCAGUAAGAUAUAUGAAAAAAGAUGCAUGCAUAAAAAAAGUUUUUUUUUUUAAGUCUUCUGCUUCAGGCGCAUAUUGAAUUUUUAUUAUUAGGCUUAUUUGUGUACGUAUGUGUCAGUAAGUUAAUUUUUUUUUUUUUUUUUAGAACUUUAGUUUUAUGUGCAGUUUGGGAUUUGAAUCACAGAUAUCACAUUCAAAUGUCAGAUCAUAAAAUUCACAAUUAAAUAGGCCUAAUGCAAUUUAAGAUUAAAAUCAUUUUUUUUUUUUUUUUAAUUCAUCUAGGCUAUUUGGAUGUGAAAGUAUAAACUGCAAUGUCUUAUUCUGACAUUGGUAUAUAGGAACACAUUUUACUUAUACGCCAUUUUACGCCAUAUUAAUUCAUUCGUAAACAUAAAAAUAGCCUAUGUGUGGGGGAUUUUGAAAUGUUUCAGAUUUCUACAUAAUUUAGUAGAUUUUCUUUAUGAUUUUAGAAUAAGUAAAGCCUCAAAGGUGGAGUAUAAUAAGCAAGCUACACAGAUAUUUGAAACUUUCCAAGUGUUGCAUUCGGGGCACAACAUUAGACCCUGAAUGUAUGAUGCUUAUCAUCUUUUUUUUUGGCACACUUGUGAAGUGUCGACGCCUGCUUACUACGCGCCGGGGAACACGUAGACCCAGUACGUAACGAAACACCGGUAUGCGGUUACUAAACAGAUAGAGAUGCAGUUCUGGAUCACAUUAUGGGACGUCCCAAGUUAACUCCUAUUUAAGGUUCGUGUAAACAUUUUUUCUUUUGUAGUCUAGUGAUCCGGAUUAAACUGAUCACAACAACUCUGGAUUCACGGUUUCUGUAGACAUUGCUUUAUUUCAUCGCUGUGGAUCUUAAAGCGAAUAAUAAGGUGCUUAUUUUAAAGUUGUAUUGUAUUUAAACGCUUUGUAAAACUGUGCCCUGAUCCGCUGAAAACAAUACAUUAAUGCCCCGCAGUUUAUUUGUUCUCGAAAACACAGAAACGAAAGAAGUAGAGGAGAGAGAUGAAGAGGAGGAGGGAGGAAGAUUCACAAGCCAGUGGAUCAAAACCAGCAAAUGUGGAGAAACUUGUUAAACGGAACAGUAUGAGUAAUCCGAAAACAGACUGUGAGUAUUUAAUAGCUCUGAUGAAUCCUUGACGAAUAGAGAUUAAAACUUGAACAGAAAUCCAAACAGUGCAUAAUCCUUCACUUUUUAGUUGCUUGCGAUUUUUUUGUGUAUCAUUAGAGUAACUUGAAGUUAUAAACAGAGAGCAGCUAACUUUUUCUUACUCUCCUUUGUUAUCAUCCUCUUCAUGCACCUCUUCUAACGUGCAAUAAUUCAUCCAGCACAUAAAAACUAUAUGAGGAUCAUUAUAAGCAGUAUUAUUUUGCAUCUUCAGUCUCUCAUGAUGCAGCAAAGCCUGAGAGUGAUUCUGAUGUAUCUCAAUCAAAGACGAGGUGAGUGAUUCACUACAGAGACAGACUCAAGACUAAGAUGAAGUUUUAAAUAUUUUAAGAUACUUUUCGUUAAUGCUGCUAAGAGUUCAGCUGAUUCAGCUUUAUUUUCUCUUUUGGUGUAUUAAAGUGUCCUGGAGAAUCUCCAGCAGAUCAUCUGAACACCAACAAGACAAACCUCUAUGAAAAUCUCACGUUUCUUCAAAUGGAGCUGCAAUAGUUAAUUGUUUCUGGGCUUGGGUCCAUCCAGUCAGGAGCUUGGUCCACACCCUUGUCCCACACCAAAUAACAACCAGCUGUUGUUCAAUUGUUGUUCAAUGUUCAAUUCAGCUCCAGGUUUUGAGGGAGAUGUAGCUCUUUGGCAGCUUGGUAGGAAAAUCCCACUUGUUUUUCAGAAAGUAGAGAGAAUGUAAGUCUGCUCAGGCCCGUAAUAUAACUGCAUAUUUGGCAAGAAUUCACGUUAUAAAUAUAUUUAGCUAUAGCUUGAUACAGAUGGAUCUCUCAGAUCAGAAGGUUAUAAUGACGGCAAUGGCCGAGCGGGAAGUUAUAGUCCUCAAAGAAUUUGUCUGUCUCUUUUAAUGAAUAUUUUCGGGUUAAAGCGGGAUUUAAACAGAUACAGCACAUUCACACGCAAUCGCUUUCGCAAUGAUGCAUUCAAACAAAUGUAAUCUUACAGUGCUACUUCAUCUGUAUCUGAUUUUGAAUGAGCAGAAAUCUGUAAGAAAUGCAUCGAUCUGUA